rnacentral:misc_RNA from 1 species
GAUGAAGAACGUAGCGAAAUGCGAUAAGUAAUGUGAAUUGCAGAAUUCAGUGAAUCAUCGAAUCUUUGAACGCACAUUGCGCCCGUCAGUAUUCUGGCGGGCAUGCCUGUUCGAGCGUCAUUACGCCCCUCAAGUCCCCUGUGGACUUGGUGUUGGGGAUCGGCGUGGCUGGUUUUCCAGCACAGCCGUCCCUUAAAUUAAUUGGCGGUCUCGCCGUGGCCCUCCUCUGCGCAGUAGUAAAACACUCGCAACAGGAGCCCGGUGCGGUCCACUGCCGUAAAACCCCCCAACUUUUUAUAGUUGACCUCGAAUCAGGUAGGACUACCCGCUGAACUUAAGCAUAUCAAUAAGCGGAGGA